rnacentral:rRNA from 1 species
GACGAACGCUGGCGGCGUGCUUAACACAUGCAAGUCGAACGGAAAGGCCCUGCUUUUGUGGGGUGCUCGAGUGGCGAACGGGUGAGUAACACGUGAGUAACCUGCCCUUGACUUUGGGAUAACUUCAGGAAACUGGGGCUAAUACCGGAUAGGAGCUCCUGCCGCCUGGUGGGGGUUGGAAAGUUUCGGCGGUUGGGGAUGGACUCGCGGCUUAUCAGCUUGUUGGUGGGGUAGUGGCUUACCAAGGCUUUGACGGGUAGCCGGCCUGAGAGGGUGACCGGCCACAUUGGGACGGAGAUACGGCCCAGACUCCUACGGGAGGCAGAAGUGGGGAAUAGUGCACAAUGGGCGGAAGCCUGAUGCAGCAACGCCGCGUGCGGGAUGACGGCCUUCGGGUUGUAAACCGCUUUCGCCUGUGACGAAGCGUGAGUGACGGUAAUGGGUAAAGAAGCACCGGCUAACUACGUG